CAGCAGCAAGCUCGUCCGGAAGGAUUUGCGUCAAAGGAUGACUGUGUCCUCGUACAUCUUCAGUUCGGGUGAACUCGAAAAGUCCUGAGGAGAGGAGCUGGUGCUCCUGCGCCUAGAUCUCCUACUGCUUGCUGUGUCAGAUCCUCAGCUACAGGACGUAGUUUUGACCGACCAGUGAAGUUACGAGAAGCGUAAAUUAAAAUAUAAAUAAUACAAUUUAAACAUAUCACGAGCAAAACCUGACACGUUCCACCACAUACUACAGACAGCGCCCAGUGCAUACAGCCCCGUUAUGCGCACGUAAAACCCAUUCGAUGGCAAAUAUAUAACACAUUUUAUCUGCAGUUAUUGGCGGUCAAACUUUGCGUAAGAACGUGCUUCGUCUUAUAACCCAGAGCAAGGAUCAGACUUUAUUCCCAUAAAAGGAGUGAUAUGCUGUCGUUAAAAUGGGCAGAGCAUUCUCGUUCUUAUUCAUAGGGAUGCUAUGGAUUCUGGCUCACCAAGCGGCGGAGGCCAAUCCGCCGAGGAAAUGCCCCGUUAUAGGAAUCGAGAAUGGGAAGGUGAGAAUCAAAUCAAGAGGCCGAGUGGCCAAGUUCAAGUGUCGCAAAGGCUACACAAUGUUCGAGGGGGACAAAUUCGCAACCUGCGUCAAGGGAAGAUGGAAUGGAAA